rnacentral:lncRNA from 1 species
UAAAAGCAUAAUUCAAAUUGCUCAUAAAAUGAUAUCUUCUUUUUACCUACACCUAUGCAUUAUCACUAAUGAAAUGUACUGUGAAGCUGUUUUGAACAACUAAGACACGGAAAUAAGGUUACCAAUCUGAGCCAUCAGAGAAAGGUUUGAGAGCAUCUUGUUUCCCAUUGACAUAAUAUUCGACAACUGCUUUCAUUCGCGGAAGCUUAUCAGGGUGGUAAUUCACGUGAACAAUUACUGGUUUCAAUUUACUGAGGUUAGCAUCGUUCCUCACUGUCUUGAAAAGAACUUUGCUGUUCAUAAAGAGAUACAUAUCCAUAGUUCUUCUAGCAGCAUGAAGCCCUUCAUAACCAGGGUGUGACGGAUAAAAUAGUUCCUCGUUGAAAACGGCUUGGUCCCAUGCAACCUCCUUGGAAAGCCGUGUCGCGACACGGUCCAAAAGCUCAAUUGAAGGAAUGGUUGGUCUGAUAUAGAAGAAACCGGAAUUGUAAACCCAUAUCCUCAUGGUAUGAGCGUAUCGAGCCCAACCCAUCGCAGGUUCGUCGAAGACAUCGUUAUAGCCGUAAGCUGUCAUGUUAUUAUGGCCAUCACUCAUGGACUCGACAUCUGAAUCACGGUAUAGAUGAUCAAAAGGAUUCUGUAAAUAUACAAUGUCAACGUCUGAUAAGAGAACACCAUAUCCCAACUGCAAAAAUUCUCUUAGAAUACGAAAUUUAAGCCCGGAGACAGCAUGGUUCCCUCCUUGUUUUCCAAUGGUGUCAAUACCAUCAUCUGGGUCUCUUUUGUAAAAUGGGACUUGAUUUGUUUCACAAAAUUUUGAAAUCUCAUCGUCUAAAGCAACAACUAGAUAAUUAGAUAUACCAACUCUCUUGAUAUUUGAGAACCAGACCUCUAACAUCUCCUUCACAUUGGAAUUUGCAAGUGCUACUAUGAUCUCUCGUUUAACUGAGAUUUUCUCCAAUAUCUUUGCCAAUCUUGGAUUCACGGAUUCAUCAGGAACAACAGUAGGAUUGGUUCUUAAUCCCUUGACAGUACCAAAAGGUCCAGCUUUUUCUUGUUUACCUAAUGCAAGAAAUUGUUUUUGAGCCUGGUCUUUCCCUUGCUCUGCAAGCCGAAGCCUUUCUGUCAACUCCCUCACCUGUUUUUUCAGCUCAGCGUUUUUGUCUGAUACUGCCACAAACUCUGAUUUCAACAUGUUGACUCUAUCUGAUGAUUCACAUUCAGCUGAGUUUUCCUGCCAAAAGAAUUCAUGAUAAAAAUUACAUCUGAUUGCAACUGUCACAGAAUGAUACCUCAUCAUGUAAACCAAAAAACUAGGAUACAAAAAAGACAAAUGUUUUCCUAUACAAAUCAAGGCAAAAGAUAGAUGCCUGUGUAUGCAAAAACAUCACUAAUAAACUAUGAACGAUACUGACUUUGGCAUGUAGACACCGGUAAUAAAUUAGAGACGAAUAUAAGUGAUUAUAUUUGUUAGAACAGCAACACCAGUUCAAGAGAAAAUAAAUACGAAAAAACGCAAACAAAGAACACGAGAUUUGACCAGAGCUCGGGCAGUUGUGCCCCUACAUCUCUCUCUGCUUAGCAAAUGCAGUACCUUUCUAUUAUUCAAAGCUUAUGGUUUACAAAUGACAACUCGUGUUUAAAUACAACGGUCCAGCUCACAACCCAUGAACUGGUACCCACCCGCACAAGCAACAUGCCCAUUUAUCAAUAAACUAUGAACCAUACCCAACAAUAUGUAACCACAACUCUCAGUGUCGGAAGACAAGUCUGACAUUCAUACUUCUUAUCUGAAAUGUCGGUGCUACAUAGCCUAUAAACCUCUUAAUGUGUGAGAAGCUUAACAAUAUCAACCACAUCUAACAACCCAAAUCUCCAACAACAACCAAACCUUAUCCCACUAAGUGGGGUCGGCUACAUGGAUCCAAUUACGCCAUAGUGUUCUAUCAUAAACCAUAUUUGGAUCCAACUCAUUCACCUCUAAAUCUUUCCUAAUAGUUUCUCUUAUGGUUUUCCUAGGUUUUCCUCUGCCUCUUUUAACCUGACUCUCCUCCAUCUGAUCUACUCUUCUUACGACGGCAUUUACAGGUCUUCUCUCUAUAAUAUCAAACCAUCUAAGCCUAUUUUCUACCAACUUUUCUACUAUAGGUGCUACCCUCACUCUCUCUCUCUCUAAUGAUGUAAUUCCUAAUCAUAUUCCUACCACUCAUCUCCGCUCCACUUACUUGAUUCUCGUGUUGGCUCUUAACCGCCCAACACUCCGUAUCAUACAACAAAUGUAGGAAAAAUCGCCACAUUGAACUAUGAUUCAAAAGUCAAAACUAUCAUCACUUUUAUCCCACAAUUCUAAAAUUCAGAAACUUAAUAUAUAUGACUAUCAAAUUCUAAAAUUUUCAGUCAACGAAAAUCAUUAAGAUUAAAACACAAUGACCAACAAUUAGUAAACGCAUCAAGAUCAAACACAUACACACAAUUACACAAAACACAACAAAAACAGUAAACUCAGAAGCAAAAAAAAUUGAGUCAACGAAAAUCAUGCAAGAGCUUAAAAUUCAAGACAAGACCCAAAAUUCAAAAAUGAAAGAAAAACACAAAAGCUACAAUCUUUGAUGAAAAUAAAACCUGGGUUUUGGAUCCAACAACAGCGAUGCGACGAUUUGAUGUAAUAGAUUGAGAAACAAAGAAGCCAUUAGGAAAAAAGAAAGCUAAGAUGCAUCCAAUAAGAACACCAAUUACUACAGCAGUAACGAUCCUUGAUUUGCGUAGAGAAUGAGGGUUGUUUCGCAUUAAGGGUCCUUCUCUUUCUCUGCGCCCAAUCAUUGUAGCUACCACCACCUCAAAGACUGAGAUUGAGAUGGUAGUUUUGUUGUUCUUCUGGUUAUGGGGUUUUGAAGAACAGAGAUUUCGAAACUGGUUUUGAUUGAGCUACAAGAUUAUCAAAUAUUCUUGAUAUCAAAUUGCAAGUUGAAAAAGAAUUCAAUGUUAGAUUGUAUUUUUCGAUUGAAUUAAAAUACCAUUCCCUUUGUUUUUUUGACUAAAUUAAAUUAUAUCAACUUUUUCAUUUUUAUUUCUUUUUUUAAAAGAAAAAAAAAGAAAAAUAAAUGCUUUAUCAAAAAUAAUUUAUCAAUAAGAGGAUAGUUAUAAAUAAAAUAAUUUAAAUAAAAUGUAAAAUUCAAAGAAAUCAAAUUUUACCUUAUACUACCAAAAAUAAAGUAUUCUUACAAAAGUUGGUACUCCUCAAAAAAUAAAAAAGUUGGUACUCCUUAAUAUAUACAACAAAAGUAAACGGUUUGUCCUCAUGAAUUUAGUUUAGUUGAUAGAGACAAAUGCAUAUUAUAUGCAAGAUUCGGAGUUUGAAUCCCAAACACAUCACUUCUUAUAAGUUUUGACUAUUAUUUGACAAAAAGAUAAGUGGUGUUUAUUUUUUAGUAACGUAUUUUUUCAAUGUUGUCCGGAACACAUAAGUAAUAAUUUUUUAAAAAAGAGAUUACAGACAUAAUAUUAUUAUUUGGGUUAUCUAAAAUAAUAUAAAGUAUUGUUCGUAUUACAACCCAUAAUUUAUUAAAUGAACUAUUUACAUUUACCUAAAAUAUAAAAUAGAUAAAUUGUGUAAGUUGAAAUAAUAAGAUGGACCAACCUAAGAAGAAAAAAGAAAUUGUGUUAAUCAUCUGGUUCUCGGGAGAAAGCGGCUCUGAUAAUCUGGAGUUUAGUAAACAAAAUUAUUUCAUUAUAUAUAAAAUUGAUUAAAAUAAAUAAUUUAAUUUUAAUCAAAUAAUUAUUUUUUUUUUAUCAAUCUAUGGUUUAAAAAAUGAAUUAUCUAUUAAAAUUACAAAAAGGUCAGGUUAAUAAAAAAAUUCUCAUCAAGGUCAUGGCAGACCUCAAGCUACAGAUCAUCAUUAAAGAUGUCCUCACAUUGACCGUGGCAAUUGAAUCCACAAUCUUGCGUGUGACUCUACUCCUCUUAUCGAUUGAGUCAACCUUCAUUGAAAAUUAAUAAUUAAAUUUGACAAAAGCUAUUAUGAGUUUAAUAUUAUUUAAACUGAGGUUUAAUGAUGGAUAAAACUAAAAAGCAAAUAAAUAAUUAGAAUUAAAAUGUAGGAUUAUAUUUAAAAAUAAAAAAUAUAUAUGUGUAUAUAAUCAAUAAUAAUCAUAAUAAUAGAUUUGUCGUCCAAGAAUACUUAAAUGAUAUGAUAAGGGAUCUCUUCAAAUUUAUCCAAAGGCCAUGGGUUAUUGUGUUUAAGUCUAACCAUAUGCAUGCAACAAUAUUAAAUAUCUUGAAGAGAACUUUGCCAAUUAUUAUGGUCAUAUCUAGUUCGAAGGAUUAGUCUGCAAUUAUACGCAGAGGAUAUCCAGUUCACGCCAAAAAAAGAUCUUAAAACAAAAAUUAUAGUAAUAAUAGCAGUUAUUGGGGACGACAAAAAGAAAUGAGGAAUGCUAUUUCCCACGAAAUGCAAUUCCGCGAAUACCACAAUCAAGUACAAAUUUGUUAUCACAAUUUUUGUUUAAUAUAAAAAAAAAAUACACAAAAAGAGGAUUUGGUGGAAAACAUGGGGCGGUAGUGUUAUUCGCAGGUUUCGUUUUUUUUUAUUCGUAGUAAAAAGUAUUUCCCAAAAGAAAUAUAAGCUAGUAUGCGCCAAUAAGAUCAACCAUGGGUAUGAAGUGGAUAUUUUAAGUACCCUCUAUUAAUGGAUACAAACAUUUUUUAAAGGAGAAUGCUAACCAUUGUCCUUGGGGCAUUGGAUAAGGGGAUAAAAAUAGAAAUAUAGUAUUGGAAAAUGGUGAAAAGUGAUAAGUUUAACUUUUUAAAAGUCAAAAUAUUGUUGAAGCCAAUGCAAAUAUGCUACUUUUGGCUUCCUUAACCACUGCUCUGAGGACAAUGGUUAGCAAGACCCUUUUUUAAAACAUUCAAAUAAAAAAAAGUUUUUAUCCAUUAAUUGAGGGUACUUAAAUUAUCCACUUUACACCCAUGGAAGUAAUGAUAUCCGUACUUAAAUUUCCCCUGUAAUUUUUUUUUUUUUUUUUAAAUUUCAUCCUUGUAAUUUGAAGAUUUUUUGGUUUUAAAUUUCACUCCCUGUUAAUUUGAUCAAAUUUUGGUUUACCCCCUGCCAUAGCUUCAAUUUUGUACGGUCAAAAUUCAUGAAGGUCCAAAACAAAAAAAUCUUCAAAUUACAAGGACGAAAUCCAAAUAAUAUAUUUACAGUGGGUAAAACCGAAAAUGACCUAUAUUACAGGGUAAAACACUAUUAACAUUAAACUCAUUGAAUAAAAUAAUAUUAAAAAAUUAAUAAUUAAACUUAUUGAAUCAAAUUAUUUUAUGGUUAAAAUUUGAUUCCAAUUAUGAUGCUAAAAAUAUAAAGAAGUGAUAGCUUAUUAAACCUUAUUUAAAAUUUAGAUAUAGAGAUGAUAUCUUGAAAUGUUUAUGUGAUUUUUUUUAACGAAAAGAGUUAGCUAGCAAAGUGCUAGGCUGUCAAAAUACAUAGAUAGCAAGAAAGCAAACAACAAAAGGACAGGAUGGGGACCAAGCCAAAUCCACCCCAAUGGUAAACAAACCUAAAAUUAGGCAAGUCUAAUAUAUUUUUUACAUAAUAAACUUUAAUGCAAUCUGGAUCUCUAACUGAAACGCUGCAAGUGUACGGUUAUAUCAGUUUUAGUAUAAAGAGUUGUCGAAUCUACAAAGACUAAUUCACAAGUACGGUUAUCUGUCGUUUCUUUGUCUAUCUAAGGCUAGUUCAUAAUAAUUUUUGUUUCGCUUUGCGCGUAAUUGCACUAUUUAAUUAUGACGAGAACACAAUUAUUUAUAGAAAAAUAUUAAAUUAGAGAUACCGUCUUGCUUUCGUAAACCGUUAUCAGAUUCUAUCACGUAAUUCCCUACUUUCGUAGAUUUAAUUACGCGUCUAAAAUUCCUUUUUAAAAUUCAAUAAAUUCUUGAUUAAUUAGAAAAAAGUGCUUUUGCUACUUUAUUUAAUUAAUAACUUGAAUUUUCCAAGUCAAAUAUCAUUUCCGUUUCCGCUCUUUCAGACGCUUAAACGAUAUUUCUAUAUUCCUAUUUUAGCAGCGAAGUAUUAAAUUAAAAACAGAAUUUUCUGACCAACAAUUUCAUUCUUGUUAUAAUUAAUCAUGCAUGCAAUUUAUUUAUAUGAGUUCCGUUGAUACGAAGGACCGAACCAUUAUUCAGUUGGUAACUUUGAUUUAAGAAAAGCAAUCACAGCAAUUAGAAAAGAUUGGCACGGCACAGUGAAAAUAAGCAAAUGGAAUUAAGCAAGGCAGUUGGAAUUAAAUGGCAGCGUGAAUACAUAUAGAUUGUAGUUUGAACAAUUGUGGGUAACAUAUCCGGUGCUAAUGGAAAUUACAAGCACAAUUGUGUGUGCUUGCGUUAUGGGUAACAAAUGUCUUAUAUGUUUGUGUUGAUAGAAGCGUUAAUUUAGGUUUGGUUGAGUUUUUUUAACUGUUAGUUUUUGCAUGCAAGUGAUUGACACUAAGGGAGGAAUUAUGUCCCUACCUUAUGGGUUUUCUAACUUCUCCAUUACGGUUGUUUUUUUAUUUUGAACUACACUUAAAAAUAAAGAUAAAGACGGAAAUGUAAAGUGAUAAAAAUGUGAAAAAAAAAGUUUGUUUCAUUUGUUGGAUGUGUUAAUUACACUAUAUUUGUUGAGUAUUUAUAGUGAAACUAUUUCUUAUCAGACAAACGACAUGGACUAUAGUGCUAAACCUUUGUUCCGCUCAUUUUGCGAGUAGUGUGUGAGUUUCCAUUGCUCAUGGGAUUAUGGUACCCCACAUUCAACUUCAGUUUUCUUCACGGUGUGGUCUGUUGACAUAAUAUCUAUGCUCAACUCGAUUAUGAUAGUGGCCUUAUUUUCGAUCUCUCAAGUGCGGCUAGUGGAGCUAGAAACAUGAAAUAUGGGUUUCACACAUCAUUUACUAGUCACAUUAUGUUUCGACUUAGUUUGAGGCUCUUUCGAUCCAUGUAAUGAGUUAGUGGCCUCAGGAAAGAAUUGGCUUUAUUCGCGCGAAUGUUUUGGAAUUGCCUAACCUUCGAUCGGCUGGGAGUCUUAAAGAUGAUUAUUUUUAAGUGUAAACAAAUGCCACAUGCAUUGUAUUAUUGGUUAACCCUUAAGAAAUGAGAUGAUGUGACACAAACAUUAGAGUAUUAUGUGAACAAUGUCAUUACUGCACCAUAAAAACUUGUUAAACCAAGGAGAAAACUACAAUGAAUUUUCCCGUUGAGAGGGGGAAGUGUUAUCUUGACGCAUGUGAGAGAACUAUUGUCAUGAAGAUGUGCUCUUUGUGUGUUGGAGAAGAAGCGAUGUUGACGUCACCCCCUGCACGGGAGAGAGGACAAUGUUAGCUUGACUUUAAAGAGUAUGAAUCGUGGAACGAAGAGUCGUGACAAUUCCAGAGCUCUCAUCGACAGUUUUUUUAGCAUGAGAUGGACGAGAAUCAACCAUUGAGAACGUAACAAAAAACAAUUGUGACGGAGCCGAAAUAAUUACGAUGGUGGAAUAAGAGGAAUCCUAGGGUAACGAUCGAGUUUCCCCUCCUUCUAGCGCCAAUGUUCUUGAGUAGACCACGAUAGAGAUGCACUUGUGAAUAUGCUCGUUCUAGGGAGAGUCAAGCGCAGGAGAGGGAACAUUAUGGUGAAAAGGAGGUUGUUCUCCGCCGAGGGGAAAGAGACCUGCAAAACAGGUUAAGACUCCGACGUUCAAGUUAGUGAGAGAAUUGAGGAGCAAAAUGUGCAAAAAGUGAUGAAAUUGGGAUCAUAUCUUGGGCGUUGAUGACAGUCUAUCAUAUCACAUUUUUAGAAUUUUUUUAAUUAAGUUUUAAUUCUAUUUUUUAUUAGUUUAGUACUUAAUUUAGAGUCCUUUUAAAUAAAUUAUCAUAUCUUUAUUUAUUGACUCAAGUCGUGAAAUGAAUAAAAUUGGUGUUUAUUAUCAUGAUAUUUGGUAACAUAUCAAAGAGGAGUAAAUCAGGGGUGUCAAAAAGAAUGGCUUUAAGAAUUCAUUGAUAAGGCUUAUGUUGGUCCAAGAGAAAAGAAACGUGUAACAUGCAUCAGUGAAUAAAAAAAGCAAUUAGAUCACAAGUUAUAUAUAUGGGUGGGGAUAUUUUGACUCCAAGAGUAAGUGUAAUAUCUUACUCCAAAUCUUGACCUUUAAUUCUAAUAUUGGUUAAUGACUUAAAUUAAUUGAUAUGAUAGGCUUUAAUUCCAUUUUCUAUUGUAGUGAACACUUAUGACUACAAAAUAACAAAACAAUAAAUGUCUUUUAAUUGCAUGAUUUUUUUUUUCUUCCAUUGUUUUUUUUUUUGUUUCAUGCAAAAAUAUUUUUUUAGGGUUAAAUUAAAAUCCUUUCCUUGAAAUAAAAAUUCAACAUGAUUAAUACAUGUGUAGGUAAGUGUUCUUACAUUUGUACAUGUUGUCUUUAUUAUUUAAUUUAAAUUAAUGAUUAAAAUACCUAUUUUUACUUAUGUUCAAAUACAGGUUUAUGGCCAUGCUUGGAUCCACAACAUAGUGAUUUAUAAGGCAUCAUGAGUGGCAUAAUGUGUGAUCAAAUAUACCUCUUUACGAUGUUGGAAUUUUUGCGAAUUUGUUUUUGAAUUUUUAGCUCUUGUUAUGUUAUGUUAUGUUAUGUUGGAUUAACGUGUUUUUUUCUUUUUUCUUUUCUUUUUAAUGUUAUGUUGAAUUCUUGAGCUCUUUCUCCAAUAACAUCUUCAUCCAUGUAUGUCAGUGACAACAAAAACUAAUUACGAUGGAGAUGAUUAUUUUAAUUUAUCGUUAUUUAUAUAAGAAAAUACACAAAUUUAUUAAUUUUUUUAUGCAAUUAUUGUUAUAUAAGAAAAUACACAAAUUUAUUUAUUCUUUUAUGCAAUUAUUGUAAAUGAAUUAGAUACAAGAAAAGACUAGGGUUACUUCCUCUAUCGUCUUUUUUUUUCGUGACAGAUUAGUACAAAAAUGUGUGUUUACAAAAAAAUAUAAGAAAAGAUCAGGAUUAUAAUGAAGAAAUAAAAAAAAAUAUGUUGUAUAAAAAAUAGUAACGGAAGAAAGAAUAAAUAUGCAAAUCUUUGAAUUUUACAAUUGUUUUCUUUAAAAAAAAUAUAUGCAAUUUUUUUAGCGUAAAAAAGUAAAGGGAGAAGGAAAAAGAAGAAAAAAAAAAUCUUUUAGCGUAAAAAAAUAUAUUCAAUUUCUUUGAAGGAAUAGAAUGAGUGAAUCUUGAAAUUUUUAUUUCAAGAAAAGGAUUUUAAUUUAACCCUCAAAAAAUAUUUUAGCGUGAAACAAAAAAAAAACAAUGGAAGAAGAAAAAGAAAUCAUGCAAUUAAAAGACAUUUAUUGGUUUGUUAUUUUGAGGUGAUAAGUGUUGACUACAAUAGAAAAUGGAAUUAAAGCCUAUCAUAUCAAUUAAUCUAAGCCAUUAAUCAAUAUUAGAAUUAAAGGUCAAGAUUUGUAGUAAGAUAUUACACUUACUCUUGGAGUCAAAAUAUCCCCACCCUAUAUAUAUAUAUAUAUAGGCUUAAUACAUCCCCCGGUCCCUUAACUUAUUUUAAUUUCUCAGUGUGGUCCCUUAACUAUUAAACGUUUCAAUUUAGUCCUUAUCUUUGUUUUCGUCAUCGAUUUGGUCCAAUUUUAUUAAUUUUAAAUCCCUAAAAANGCAUUAUGUGGAUUAUAUAAGAUGUUUAAGUGUUGUUGAUUUUCAUUUGAUAUUGUUAUAUCUUGAGAUGUUUUUGUGCUGCCUAUUUUGCUGUUGUAUAUUAACUAAGCUGCAUGAUCCGGUCUAAGAUGUAAGAUGUCGUUCCAAAGUGUUGGAGUCCUAAGUUGUUGAUGUUGUCCAAGUUGUACACGUUACUGAGUCCAUGUAUACUCAUUUAAGUUAGGGACUUGAUGCCCUGGAGCCUUUGCUCAACACGUUGGGGGCUUGAUGACCUGUGAGCUUUUGCUCAAAUAAGUUGAGGGCUUGAUGCCAUGAGAGUGUAUUUAUGCUCAAAUAAGUUGGGGGCUUGAUGCCCUGGAUUGGUACCACAUGCAUGAUUAAGAAGAAUAAGUUGCAUAGUCAAGUCGAUGCAUUGUCGAGUCAAGUUGUUAAGUUGAUAAGUUAUGUUUUUUUUAAUGAAGUGUUUAACGAAGAAUUAUUAUUAUGAUGUGUUGAUGAUGUUUAUGUUGUUAAAUAUAAUUGAUGAAUUAUAUGCUUAAUAUUAUUGUUUGUUAAAUCUCACCCCUUCUGCUUGGAAAUGUUGCCCUUCGUAUGGGUAACUUGCAGGUGAUCAAGAGUAGUUGCUGUUAGUUGCUGUUGUGAGUGGUUUCUCUCUCACGUGUCUUAGGUGCUCUGAUACGUAACGUGAUGAGAUUUUAUUGUUGCUUUCUAUUCCUUACGUAUUACUUUAUGAAGUUUCAUGACUAUGUUUAUAGAUUGGAUUUUUAUGAGAUGUUUAUGAUGAGGCCUUCGUGCCAAAGACUGUUUUUAGAUGUUGAAUAAAUUCCGCUGCGAAGUAUUAAAUAUUAUGUUGUUGAAUUUUGAAGGAUAAAUAGUUAUUUAUUCCGUUUAUGAUUUUUAAGAAAAGAAGUGUGACAUUCCGUUUAUGUUGAAAAACUCUGAUUAUAUGCGAAAUUUUUAUGUUGGGAAAACGAGGUGUUACAUCGUUCAUAAUAAACGGGUUAAGUCAAGGUCCACAAAGGUGACUAGCUCGACAAGCCAUAUAAGACCGACCUUCAGCACCACCUUAAGAAAAAUAGCACCUUGCAACGACGUGCUAGGCAGGGUGACAACCUUCUUCACCAUCUCGUCCGCACUAAAGUGACGAUAUGCGCUCUGCCACCUUAAGCGUAACCAUCAUUUGGAUAGCUAUUAGGUCGUUCCUACGUAGAGGGACCUAACCUAAUCCGGAUAGGUGCCUCUGCCUAUCUCGGAUAUAGUUAGACUAAACAAACCUUCAGAUAUAGAAGAGUUAUUCCUACUUACAAGGCAUUCAUCUUAAUCUGAUAGGCACUUCCACCUAUCUUAGGUAUGAUUAUUCUAAUCAUCCAGAUUAACCUUGUAACAAACAAUAUUAGAGUUAAGUAGAGAAGAUAUAGAAACAAACAAGGAGAUCAACAUCAAAUCAACUACAAUAAAUAUAGGGUCUCUCCCCUAGGUACGAUCAUCUCAUAACUAAUAUCUCACUUUGUUACCUGAUAGCUGAUGGGUUGUUUUAGUGGCAUAAAAAAUAAGUAUUCAUAUAAAAUUUGUAUCCAUAGAGACUCGUGCGAUACUAAAGCUAUUCAACAAUCAAAUUGGUUUGAUUAUAUAAAGUGAGUUGUUUAAACAUGUAUUUUGGUUUGUGCAAUGUAAGUGCUAAAACCAAAAUAAGUUCGUAUUCUCAAAGGUUAAACAUCAUUAACUAAUCAUCUAAUGUCAUUCCUUACUUGAUUAUAGACUCAUUCGAUUUAUGUUAUACCUUCAGUUGUCCAUCAACAUUGUUUCCAUAUCUGACAAACAACUGGAGAUCUAUUGUAUUAAUUAACUUCUGGUGUUGAGAAAAAUAGUUGAAUAAUUGAUGACAUGUCAUCUUACGUUAUUUUCAACAUACUUUUCAGUCAUUUUAUUUAGAUUUUGAUCCAAUUUAGAGGAGUUUUAGAACAAUUGCCUAUGAUUUUUGGGAUAUUUGUAAUGUUUUCCUUUCAAGUCAUGUAAUUCUAGUCUUCCCGAAAUCAAACAGUUAUUAGGUGCUUUUGAUGUAAUUCAAUGCAAAAACAUACAAAUCGGCAAAGUAGAGCAUCUCAAAAGGAUUUGGGAAGACAAUGGAUGAUGAUUCAAGAGACCUCUAAAGACAUUACAAAGAGGAGAAUUCAUAUCCCAAGUCAAAAAAGUGUUAUUUUUAAUUCAAAUUUUCCUUUUUUGGAUUCCUUAACUAGUGCCCCGGAGGCACCGGUUAACCGGACCCUUAAAAUAUUACAUAUGUAUAGUGUUUUUUUAAAAGGAUAUUUAUAGUGUUACGUGGUUUAAUUUCAUACUUGUUCCUUUGGUUUGGUGGAAAAGUCAUAUCUUAUAUGACUCAUUGUAAUAGGUUCGAUUCUUCCGAAAAAUAAAAAUAAUUUAUUGUGACUAUUUUUGAGUGUGAGACAAUUAUAAUUAUUACUUUUAUAUUGCGUAUAAUUAAAAAUAUUUAUUUUUAUAAUGUUAUAAUUUUUUUUCUAAAAUAUACAGAAUAAAUAGAAAUCGAAGAUACAUUAUUUCUAUUGUGAUGAAAUUGUUCCUAUUUUAAUGAGAUUUAAUUUUCUUUUUUAACUAAAAAUUUAAAUAAUAUAAUAAAAAGAUAAAAUUAUUUGCAAUGACAAUAGUUUAAAUAAAUGGUAUAAUUGAAAGAAAAGUACUAGGUGAAAAACAUGUAUUAUCUUUGUAAAUGAAUAGAUAAAAUAAUGUGCUUUGACUUUUUUCUUUUGAAACAUAAAAUGAGCUUUGACUGGGUAUAGCAAUGCAGUGUACUCAACUUUAGAGUUGAUAAUAUAGUAUAGGGUGCAAGUCUUCAAUUUGAGGGUGUGCAAGAUAAAAACAAAACAUAGUAUAAAAUAAAAAGACUUGAGACUGUGCCAUAUGCCAGCGUUCUUUACGUUAACUCCAUCGAUAAAUGUUUCAUGAACUCAUUCUUUUGGUAUUUAAUAUUUUUCCCUUUCUUUCGUAUGCAUCAACCAAAAACAAAUAUUCACUACCAAUCAAAAACAAAUAUUCACUACUUCACCAAAAAUAAUAAAUUCACUAUUACGCAAGCCUCUCACAUAAUCUUGAUAAUGAUGAAGAAAGGUAUUAUAAAAUUACAAGUUGAAAUCAUAAUUUCAGUAAAAAAUUGAAAUAAGAAUAACUUAUUAGAAUUUAUUUUCCAAUUAUUAAAAUAUCAUUCCUUUUGUUUUGGCUAAAGUUAAAAAUAUCAACAUUUUCAUUCUUUCAUUUUACUUUUACAAUUAAUCAUCUAUUUUUCGGAUGUUACUUCAUUUGUAGUAUAUGGAAUCUUGUCUUUUGAUCGGUCUGAAUCUCUUUCAUUAGUGCAACUGACAUCGAUGAGUAAGCUUUGUAGUUAUGUGGUGCACAAAUGUUAUGUGGAAAUAACAUAAUAUAGAUUUUCCGUAAUAAAGAGUCAUCAUUGAAUCAUUUACUUUAUCACAUAAUGCUUAACGUUUGGUGAUGGUUGAAGACCAACAAACUUGACACCGUUGUCGAUUUUUUAAUUGAUAAUUUAAAUAAUAUUGUUAAAAUAAUGUCCCCUUUACAAUAUACUACUAGCAGACAUGCACAUUAAAAUGGUAAAAAGUAAUUAAGUCUAGGGUAAAAUUGACAGAAAAAUGGUUACACUAACACACAAUUUUAAAUGGGAUUUACUUAAUUUUUUAAUUGAUAAAUUAANAGUUUUGUUUUGUUCUGGUUAUAUAGGGUUUUGAAGCUUUGGAGGGUUAAUUAAGAAAUGGAGAAUUGGGUGGUCAGUUUGAGCACAUAUAUUCACUUCGAAACUGAAUUUGAUUGAAUUACUAGUCUCUAAUAUAUAGAUAUAGGAAUGUGUGAUUUUGGAGUGUUUUUUUCACUUUCAAAUUUAUCAUUCAUUUAAAUUAUUAUAUUUACAAUCAUAACCCUUUUAUUAAAUUAUUAAUUGUAACGGUAUGAACCUAACAGGACCGACCCAAUUAUCUUUGGGUCGUUUGUAACGCCCUCUUUAAUUAUUUGAUUAUUUUUAUAGAGUUUAGAGUUUAUUAUAUGAUUGAGGUGAUUUAAAUGAUUAUGUGAUGUGUGUUAUUUUAUUUAAGAGGCCUUAUUUUAUUAUUUAAUAGAAUAAGACUUGAAAAUAAAAUAAAUUUUAAGAUGAGGGGUUGUUUUGAGAAUUUAGAGAGUUUUGUGAGAAAAGAGGAAAUAAGAUAAAAUAGAUGAGAAGAGAUAAAUAGGAGAAAAUAGGUUUAUAAUUAUUUUCACGUACAACCAGUUUUGGAGAAAAGGGAGAACAAGAGGAAAAGAGAAUCAAGAGAGAGGCUGCCCAAUCGAAAUCCUAAGGUAAGGGUGGGACUAACAUUCAAUCUUCUUAAGCCUAUGAUUAUGAUGAUUAGAUUUAACAUGUUGUAGGGUUAGUUUUUGAGAAUUGGAAAUUAGGGUUAAGAGUGAUAAUUGAGGAUUAGAUGAUGGAAACUUGUAGAAUUGAUGUAGAAAGUGUGUACAGACCUUAGAUAAUCCAUAGGGUGAUGUUUAUAAUCAGUUUUAAGCUUAGAACUAUGUGAAUUGUUGCAUUUUCGUGAAAAAUUGCAUUCUGUCCGAGCGGACAUUCAUCGCUCGCCCUCGUGAGCAGCAUGCCUCCCCUCGCGAGUGAUGAAGUUCAUUGCUCGCCUCGCGAGUAAAUGUUCUUCGCCUCACAAGUGAACCCAGAUGUCACUUGCCAUAGCGAGCAGAUCACUCGCCAUAGCGAGUUGAUCAGUGAGUGAACCAUGAUUUUGAGAAUUAACUGGUUUAGUCGAACUUUAGAUGAUUUUGGGUGCCUGAACAUGUAUAAGAAUGAUUAGGCAAGUUCUUAGAUUGAAAUUGAACAUAGGGAAGUUAAAAAUGAAAUUUUUGAGUGAAAAAUGUCAAGUUCCCGAGAGCACCCAGUUUCUGGCUCGCCAAGGCGAGCAACCUUUUUCUGAACUCGCCAUAGCGAGUAGAGUGGCUCGCCUCACGAGCUGCACAGUGUCAGACAACCUUGUUUAGGGUUCUUGCGAUCUUUGUCGCACAUGAGGUUUUGAGUUGAUCCUUGGGUUAGGAAUGGAGGUUGAUUAUAAUAUUAUUGAUGUUCAAUGAGUCUGAUAUAAUAUGAUUUGAUGUUGAUAGUAAUGUGAUAUAUUUGUAUAUGCAUUAUGUGGAUUAUAUAAGAUGUUUAAGUGUUGUUGAUUUUCAUUUGAUAUUGUUAUAUCUUGAGAUGUUUUUGUGCUGCCUAUUUUGCUGUUGUAUAUUAACUAAGCUGCAUGAUCCGGUCUAAGAUGUAAGAUGUCGUUCCAAAGUGUUGGAGUCCUAAGUUGUUGAUGUUGUCCAAGUUGUACACGUUACUGAGUCCAUGUAUACUCAUUUAAGUUAGGGACUUGAUGCCCUGGAGCCUUUGCUCAACACGUUGGGGGCUUGAUGUCCUGUGAGCUUUUGCUCAAAUAAGUUGAGGGCUUGAUGCCAUGAGAGUGUAUUUAUGCUCAAAUAAGUUGGGGGCUUGAUGCCCUGGAUUGGUACCACAUGCAUGAUUAAGAAGAAUAAGUUGCAUAGUCAAGUCGAUGCAUUGUCGAGUCAAGUUGUUAAGUUGAUAAGUUAUGUUUUUUUUAAUGAAGUGUUUAACGAAGAAUUAUUAUUAUGAUGUGUUGAUGAUGUUUAUGUUGUUAAAUAUAAUUGAUGAAUUAUAUGCUUAAUAUUAUUGUUUGUUAAAUCUCACCCCUUCUGCUUGGAAAUGUUGCCCUUCGUAUGGGUAACUUGCAGGUGAUCAAGAGUAGUUGCUGUUAGUUGCUGUUGUGAGUGGUUUCUCUCUCACGUGUCUUAGGUGCUCUGAUACGUAACGUGAUGAGAUUUUAUUGUUGCUUUCUAUUCCUUACGUAUUACUUUAUGAAGUUUCAUGACUAUGUUUAUAGAUUGGAUUUUUAUGAGAUGUUUAUGAUGAGGCCUUCGUGCCAAAGACUGUUUUUAGAUGUUGAAUAAAUUCCGCUGCGAAGUAUUAAAUAUUAUGUUGUUGAAUUUUGAAGGAUAAAUAGUUAUUUAUUCCGUUUAUGAUUUUUAAGAAAAGAAGUGUGACAUUCCGUUUAUGUUGAAAAACUCUGAUUAUAUGCGAAAUUUUUAUGUUGGGAAAACGAGGUGUUACAUCGUUCAUAAUAAACGGGUUAAGUCAAGGUCCACAAAGGUGACUAGCUCGACAAGCCAUAUAAGACCGACCUUCAGCACCACCUUAAGAAAAAUAGCACCUUGCAACGACGUGCUAGGCAGGGUGACAACCUUCUUCACCAUCUCGUCCGCACUAAAGUGACGAUAUGCGCUCUGCCACCUUAAGCGUAACCAUCAUUUGGAUAGCUAUUAGGUCGUUCCUACGUAGAGGGACCUAACCUAAUCCGGAUAGGUGCCUCUGCCUAUCUCGGAUAUAGUUAGACUAAACAAACCUUCAGAUAUAGAAGAGUUAUUCCUACUUACAAGGCAUUCAUCUUAAUCUGAUAGGCACUUCCACCUAUCUUAGGUAUGAUUAUUCUAAUCAUCCAGAUUAACCUUGUAACAAACAAUAUUAGAGUUAAGUAGAGAAGAUAUAGAAACAAACAAGGAGAUCAACAUCAAAUCAACUACAAUAAAUAUAGGGUCUCUCCCCUAGGUACGAUCAUCUCAUAACUAAUAUCUCACUUUGUUACCUGAUAGCUGAUGGGUUGUUUUAGUGGCAUAAAAAAUAAGUAUUCAUAUAAAAUUUGUAUCCAUAGAGACUCGUGCGAUACUAAAGCUAUUCAACAAUCAAAUUGGUUUGAUUAUAUAAAGUGAGUUGUUUAAACAUGUAUUUUGGUUUGUGCAAUGUAAGUGCUAAAACCAAAAUAAGUUCGUAUUCUCAAAGGUUAAACAUCAUUAACUAAUCAUCUAAUGUCAUUCCUUACUUGAUUAUAGACUCAUUCGAUUUAUGUUAUACCUUCAGUUGUCCAUCAACAUUGUUUCCAUAUCUGACAAACAACUGGAGAUCUAUUGUAUUAAUUAACUUCUGGUGUUGAGAAAAAUAGUUGAAUAAUUGAUGACAUGUCAUCUUACGUUAUUUUCAACAUACUUUUCAGUCAUUUUAUUUAGAUUUUGAUCCAAUUUAGAGGAGUUUUAGAACAAUUGCCUAUGAUUUUUGGGAUAUUUGUAAUGUUUUCCUUUCAAGUCAUGUAAUUCUAGUCUUCCCGAAAUCAAACAGUUAUUAGGUGCUUUUGAUGUAAUUCAAUGCAAAAACAUACAAAUCGGCAAAGUAGAGCAUCUCAAAAGGAUUUGGGAAGACAAUGGAUGAUGAUUCAAGAGACCUCUAAAGACAUUACAAAGAGGAGAAUUCAUAUCCCAAGUCAAAAAAGUGUUAUUUUUAAUUCAAAUUUUCCUUUUUUGGAUUCCUUAACUAGUGCCCCGGAGGCACCGGUUAACCGGACCCUUAAAAUAUUACAUAUGUAUAGUGUUUUUUUAAAAGGAUAUUUAUAGUGUUACGUGGUUUAAUUUCAUACUUGUUCCUUUGGUUUGGUGGAAAAGUCAUAUCUUAUAUGACUCAUUGUAAUAGGUUCGAUUCUUCCGAAAAAUAAAAAUAAUUUAUUGUGACUAUUUUUGAGUGUGAGACAAUUAUAAUUAUUACUUUUAUAUUGCGUAUAAUUAAAAAUAUUUAUUUUUAUAAUGUUAUAAUUUUUUUUCUAAAAUAUACAGAAUAAAUAGAAAUCGAAGAUACAUUAUUUCUAUUGUGAUGAAAUUGUUCCUAUUUUAAUGAGAUUUAAUUUUCUUUUUUAACUAAAAAUUUAAAUAAUAUAAUAAAAAGAUAAAAUUAUUUGCAAUGACAAUAGUUUAAAUAAAUGGUAUAAUUGAAAGAAAAGUACUAGGUGAAAAACAUGUAUUAUCUUUGUAAAUGAAUAGAUAAAAUAAUGUGCUUUGACUUUUUUCUUUUGAAACAUAAAAUGAGCUUUGACUGGGUAUAGCAAUGCAGUGUACUCAACUUUAGAGUUGAUAAUAUAGUAUAGGGUGCAAGUCUUCAAUUUGAGGGUGUGCAAGAUAAAAACAAAACAUAGUAUAAAAUAAAAAGACUUGAGACUGUGCCAUAUGCCAGCGUUCUUUACGUUAACUCCAUCGAUAAAUGUUUCAUGAACUCAUUCUUUUGGUAUUUAAUAUUUUUCCCUUUCUUUCGUAUGCAUCAACCAAAAACAAAUAUUCACUACCAAUCAAAAACAAAUAUUCACUACUUCACCAAAAAUAAUAAAUUCACUAUUACGCAAGCCUCUCACAUAAUCUUGAUAAUGAUGAAGAAAGGUAUUAUAAAAUUACAAGUUGAAAUCAUAAUUUCAGUAAAAAAUUGAAAUAAGAAUAACUUAUUAGAAUUUAUUUUCCAAUUAUUAAAAUAUCAUUCCUUUUGUUUUGGCUAAAGUUAAAAAUAUCAACAUUUUCAUUCUUUCAUUUUACUUUUACAAUUAAUCAUCUAUUUUUCGGAUGUUACUUCAUUUGUAGUAUAUGGAAUCUUGUCUUUUGAUCGGUCUGAAUCUCUUUCAUUAGUGCAACUGACAUCGAUGAGUAAGCUUUGUAGUUAUGUGGUGCACAAAUGUUAUGUGGAAAUAACAUAAUAUAGAUUUUCCGUAAUAAAGAGUCAUCAUUGAAUCAUUUACUUUAUCACAUAAUGCUUAACGUUUGGUGAUGGUUGAAGACCAACAAACUUGACACCGUUGUCGAUUUUUUAAUUGAUAAUUUAAAUAAUAUUGUUAAAAUAAUGUCCCCUUUACAAUAUACUACUAGCAGACAUGCACAUUAAAAUGGUAAAAAGUAAUUAAGUCUAGGGUAAAAUUGACAGAAAAAUGGUUACACUAACACACAAUUUUAAAUGGGAUUUACUUAAUUUUUUAAUUGAUAAAUUAAUUAAUAUUAUAAAAAUGGUCAAAUGGUUUAAAUGAAGGUUAAAACCGGAAAAUAAAUAGUAAAUAAACGGACACUAAUGUGCACUGUUUAUCUGUUUUUCUACUGCAUUUAACUGUAUAUAAAAAGAUAUAAAAGUUUUGGGAUAUAGUCCGAUCAAAUCUUUUCGGCAAAUAAUAUUAAUAUAAACAUUUUAAAUAUAAAUAUAAUUGUUUGUUGUUUCAACUUUCAAGUUAUAAGAAACAAAACUAACCAUCAUUAUCUAUUUCAAUGACACUAACAAUAUGACAAAAAAUAUAAUCUAAUUUUUUUUAAUGACACCAACAAAAAUCUUUAUUAUAGAAAAAGUUAUUUAAAAGUAUAAUUGGAAUGAUGAAAAAGUAAGUAUAAAUAUACUCAUCUAGUUUGUUACACUUUUUAAAUGAUAAAGGAAGAAAAAAAAAACAGACAUACAUAUCGUGUUUGUUACAUUUUGUUAAUAUUUAAAUUUAUUCUUAUCUAUUUGUUAAGAUAAAAAGUUUAGGGCAUUUUUGAAAAGAGAAAAAGCCAACUAAUAAAAGUUAAAAGGGAUUAUUUUCUUUAUAUAUAAUAUUGAUGAAUUUAAACUAAAUUUUUAAUUAAUAAUUUAAAUUUCCAUUAUAGCGGUGUUGUUCCUAUUUUAAAAUAAUGUAAAAAGGUAAAAUUGUGAAUAUAAUAAUUUACAAUUUGAUGAUAGUGAAUGAUUAACGAUCAUUAAGUUGCAAGAAAAUCCCGUAAAAACUUGAGUUUCUUUUUUCUGGUUGAAGGUGAAGUUUCCAUCAUUUCACCUCAACUAUCAUGACUGGUGGCUUUCACCCUUCACUAUUUUGGACAUUGGUUAAUUUUAUGUUUGUUUGUUUCUGUUGGCGUUUCAGUGUAGUGACCUUUAUAAAUAUUGUAUAAACUCUGUUCUUGCAUGUCUUAUGUUAGGAAGGACUUUUUGUGAUGGUAAUAUAUUUCAUUUUAGCCUCUUCAAAAAAAAAAAUUAAUGUCAUGUAAUAAUUAAUUCAUUUGGAUGAUUUUAUAUCAACUCAUCGUAUAUCCCGUCAUUUAAAAUAUGUUAUAUCAUCAUUUGUCAAUAUAAAUUUAAAAAAUGGAUCACGAGAAAUGGGGGAACCAAUCCCGUGAACAAGUAAAAAUAUGAGUGCAAUAUCAAACGUGUUAUUUUACCAUGACUUCAUAAUAUUUUUGGUGUUGAAAAUUUCAUAUCCAAGCGAAUGAGACUCCGGUAAUCCAAAGUUUAUCUCAAAGGAUUCGUCAUUUGAUGGAGUUCAUUAACGACCUAUAUAACUCAAUUGCUUGAUUUGUCACUUUAUCUACAAUACUUCUAUACUAGAUUACAUGGUUUUGGCCUGAGUUUUUCAGUUCCAUAUCAUUAAGCAAGUUUGCCUAUAAAAAUGCUAUUUGUUGAUGUCAUUAAAAAAUAUAAAAUUUUAUAUUAUAUUUAAUAUAUCGUUGGUGUUAUUAAAAAAGAUAAAUAUAGUUUGUUACAUUAUGAAAUUGUAAAAAAAAAAAAAAAUAUAUAUCUAUAAUUUUAAUUAAAAUAAAAAUAAUUGUAAUAAAAAUCAAAUUCAUAAAAACUAUUGUUCAUACUUUAUGCGUAUUAUUACAAUAAAAAGAGCGGACAAACGAACAUGGAGUCUGAACGUCAGGUAAUAAUAUUUAUAGUAUUAAUGGAAGUUUUUAUACGAUUCAUGAUUCACCCAAUUCCACGUUUGGAUGACUCUCUAAUAAUAUAUUAGUCUUAAUAGAAUAUGAUUUAUAUAUCCAAUUAAUUAAAUGUGCUUAAAUUCGUUUGAGUCGACUAAAUCAGUAAAAUCAAACACAAUUCCACAAUGAACCACAAGUUGUAAAAGCAGCAAAAUCAAACUCUAUCAUGCAACAUGCAAUAUGCAAGAAGUUAAGAGAAGACACAAUUUAAAAAUGAAAGAAAAACACGAAAGAUGAUAGUUAAUCUUUGAUGAAAAUGAAACCUGGGUCUUGGGUACAGCAACAGGUAGGUGACGAUUUGAGGUAAUAGACUGAGAAACAAAGAAGUCUUUAGGAAAAAAGAAAACUAUGAUGCAUCCAGUAAGAACUCCAAUGAUUACAGUGGUAAUGAUCCUUGAUAUGAGUAGAGAUUGAGGGCUGUUCUUCAUCAAGGGUCCUUCUCUUUCUCUGCGCUCAAUCAUUGUAUCCACCACCAACUCAAAGACUGAGAUUGAAAUGGAAGUUUUGUUUUGUUCUGGUUAUAUAGGGUUUUGAAGCUUUGGAGGGUUAAUUAAGAAAUGGAGAAUUGGGUUGUCAGUUUGAGCACAGAUAUUCAGUACUUCGACUUUGAAACUGAAUUUGAUUGAACUACUAGCCUCUCAAACAUAUUCUUGAUGGGAAUAUGAGAAUUCAUCUAUACCUAUAUAUAGAAAAAGGAAUGUGUGAUUUUGGAGUGAUUUUUUCCUAAUGACAUCUUUGUUUCUCAAUCUAUUACCUCAAUGAAAAAAUUUCACUUGAGUCCAUUAUACGAUAAAGGAACAUGUGCAUACGAUAAUUGAACAUGUGCAUAAAAUUUCACUUGAUUGGGCAAACAAUUUUUUAAUUAUUAAAAGUAUACAUGGUGCAAUUAUACUUGAAGGUCUUUAAUUUUAAUCACCAUAUUUUCAACUGUUAUGGAGAUUCACAGUGGGGGCUUUACGACUAUUGAGUUGAUUCUAUUAGAAUAGUCUUUACGACUAUUUCUGCAAGAUAUCGAACUAUCGUCUGAAUUUUUAAUACGAGCUAUCGAAUUCUAUGGUUCAUUAAACCUAGUAUUAUGGGAAUUUUAAAAUCAGUUGAGUGACACUAAAAAAACUAACACGAUAUUGUAAGAUGACAUCUACAUUUUAAAAUGUGUUUUGAUGCAUGUUACUUACUUAACGCCAUCUAUACCAUGCUAUUCCCAUACUCAUACUGCUAGUAUUACUCAUAUAUUUUUUAUUUUUUAUUUUUUUGAAAUAGAAACUAGCUGCAUAUUUACUUUUGCAUUAUCGUCAACUACUAGCAUGUGAAAAUUCAUGAGCAUGAUGAAUUAUUAAAAGAUAUAUAUGUCCAUAAAUUCUUUCCAAAGGCAGUCAGUAUGAAAUUAAUUGUAUAUGUCAAUUUGAUUGUCACGGGUUAAUAUUCUCAUAUAACCUUACGACUCAUAAUUCUUCAAUUUGUUUUUUUGUUACCAUCAUAAUUCUUCUUUUAAUGCACAUAUACAUGAUGUAUGCACCAACCUGCAAUAUAUAUAUAUAUAUAUAUAUUUUACGAAACUCUUUGAAUAGAACAAGUACAAAAAUAGAGAGAAGGAGAGAGGAAGAUAAAAGAACAAGAAUAGAGAGAAUGAGAGAGGAAGAGAAGAGAAGAUCAUUCUAUUAUUCUCUUGAGUGUAUAUGUAUGUUACAUGUGAGCUUUUAACGCUGUGUACAAUUAAAGAGUGUCAAUAUAUCAUUUUCCCUUUAUUUAUAGAGAAAUACAAUAAUAUAACAUGAAGUGAGUAGUAUGAUCCAAUAACUCAAAAAUUAAUAGACACCCACUUAUAAUAUUGAUAACAUUGUCUCUUGGAUGUCCAAUGAGGAUAGACCUUAAUAAAACCUUAACAGAAAAGAAAUACCAACAACCCACGUAAAAACAAUUAUAUAUGAGACGAAGAAGGUCAAAUAAUCUUUCGUACUAUAGUUAUUCAAAAGAUUUACUUGACAGUGUCUUUGUAGAAAGAAAUGGUUUAUCAUUAUACUCUUCUCCAAAUUAGCAGUGUUUGAGAUAUUAUCUUCAUAUUGAGUUGUUGCCAGGGUUUCCAUAAGAAAACCACAAGUUUCUUGUAUGUGUAAAAUUUUAAUCCUUAGUAAAAAAACAUUCUCCUCUUUCUUGAUGUAGUCCUAACAUUUUCAAAUGAUGGGAUGAUAUUGUUGUUUUUCUAAAAUUCAAAUUGUAUACUUGACUUUGUACCAAUAACUUAAUGUUUAAUAAUAAUAUUGACAAAAAUAAAAUACCACGAUAUAUAUAAUUAGGAAAAUACGUUAGUACCCUCAUUUGGAUAGGUAGAUGUUUCACUAGCUAAUGCAGAAGGCAAGGUAGAAAAUGUGAUAGUUACGAUGGACAACUUCGCAUUUCCAACAAGCACAACAGUGAUGGAGAUGAGAGAACUUUACGAGUGUUGCUGAUCAAAUUGGAGGACAAUUCUCCGAUGCUGAAUGUUGCAGGAUAAGGUAAGAAACCCACAUUCAAAUGUCUAAUAAAAGAACAAAAUAACAAAGGUGAACUGGUCAGAGUUGAAGUUAGUAGAAGAGCCUGAAGAGGUAGAUUUUAUUCAAGAUGAUGAACCUAUGGAGAAGUUAGUAAAAGAACAAAUUAAUGCAAUUUAUUUAUUCAAUUAUGAUUAAAGUCUUACUUUAUUUUCAAUUGUUAUGAUCAUUAUAAUUGUUUUAAACCCUAGGUUUGACAAACCUAAAUAUCUAUGUAUGUCCUCUAGGUUAAGGUAUAAGAAUGAAGAUCUUGCUUUAACCCGAACAAGAACAAUAUAAACUUUGCUUAAUUAUCUUUAAUUAAUUAGGAUUAAUUAGGGAUUUUACAAUGUGGGUAAUUAUCCACCAUUUUUUAAAUGCGAUCUAGGCUUCACCAGAAAGAUUUCAAUAUUUUCUAAUGCCUUUACCAAAAGUUCCAAACACCCUAACAUUGCAUAAAAGCCACUAUUGCAUAUAUGAAAUUAUGUGACAUUUGGUAGGUAACAUUCAUAAAAAUGUUACUAUUUAACAAUAUUUGAAACAUUUAAAAAAAAAUGUUAUUAACACCAUUACACUUUUUAGUUCAUUUAAACAAUAUAAAAGGUGUUUCAUUUGUUGUGUGUGUCUAAUAUAUAUAUAUAUAUAUAUAAAAGGUGUUGAGUACAUGUGUCACAUGUUUUUUUUUUUUUUUGCCUUUUUUCUUUCUCUCUCUAGACAUUGUAUUGCUCUCUCCUCUCUCUAGAAAACAAACUCNUUCAGAUUUUUUUCGAAAAUAAAAAGAUUUUAAAAAAUUCUGGAAUUUAAUUUUCAAAAUACAAAAAAAGCAAAAAUUCAAAAGUUUAAAAAAAAAUGUCAGAUUUUUUUCGAAAAAAAAGUUUUUAAAUUUUUUUUCUACAAAAUUUAAAUUUUGGAAAAUAUUUUAUUUUUUAAUAAUCUCGAUACAAAUUUAGAAAAAAUUCAGAUUAUUUUUUUCAAAAAAUUUUAUUUCAGAAUUAUGAUUAUUUUAUUUCAAAAUUUUAUUAUUUUCAAAAAAAUUUAGAUUACUCUAAAAAUCAUUUUUUUACGAAAUUAUGAAGAUUAGACGAUUUUGGCUGAUUCUAACAAAAAGCCAUUUUGGCUAAUUAUUAGAAAAUAUAUUUCGAACAAGUUCAGAUUUUUCUUUUCAAAUUAAAAGUAAUUCUCCAGGUUUUUUUUUUAUAAAAAAAUCCUGAUUUUUUUUUUUAUUUUCGAAGAUUAAUUUUCCAAUUUUUUUAUUUCUAAAUUAAUAUAAAUGAAUUUAUAUUAUUUUUAAAAAUUAAUUUUAGAUACUUAGGUGUUGUUGGUACAUGGUUAGAUAUGAUGAACUUCCUUUAUCCAACGGUCUUGUUUUUUAGGGAUUUAAAAUUAAUAAAAUUGGACCAAAUCGAUGAAGAAAACAAAGAUAAGGACCAAAUAAAAAUAUUUAAUAGUUAAUGGACUAAACUGAGAAAUUAAAAUAAAUUAAGGGACGAGGAUGUAUUAAGCCAUAUAUAUAUAUAUAUAUAUAUAUAUAUAUAAAAGAAGCUAGCCGCAAAAAAGGAAUCAUCGGACUUUGGCACAUCACGGUUUGGGAGAUCCAAAAGUUGAGGAGAAAGAAGCUACGGACUGCACAGCUAGAAGAAAUAACGGCAACACAAAGAUAAGAAUUUGAUAAACUAUUAUGGUAUCAAUGAAUUUCUCUUUUGUUCUACGUUGUUUAUUUUCUUUAAUAAUGAGUAGCUAAUUUUUCAAUUGGUUGAGACUUAGAUGAAUAUGAUAUAAUUGUAUGAGAAUCCUAGUUUGUUGAACUCUUUUGAAUAUCAAUAAAAGUCUAGAUUUUAUUCAUAUUACUUUAUGUUUAAUGCUUUUUGUAUGUUUAUCAUCGACUACUAACCCUAGCUUCAUGAAUAUACAAAUUGAUCUUAGAGAUUGAAUGACCACUAACCAUGACUUUUGACUCUGAUCUAGGUAAUAUGUUUAACUUAAGUAAUCAAGCUAGAGAUAGACCAUUAUUAGGUUAUGACAUAGGGAUUAACGUUCUAUUAAAACCUCCAACGGUUUCGAAUUCACUUAAGACAUUAAGGGGUUGUUAUUUGCAGGGAGAAUUCUAGGUCAAGAGAUUGGGUAGAGUUACUUUGUUAAUCUAUCGGGAAGCUAGAUAAUCAUUGCUUGAAUUAGGAGUGCAAAUUACCAUAGGAGAACUUCGGAGGAUUCGAAGGUCUUAACCAUGCUUCUCUCAAUUUUAUUUUUAAGGAUUCUCUCAAAUUUUCUAAAACCAACUUUUAUUGUUUUUAUUUCAUUUAUAUUACAAAAAUCAACUCACCUGCCUAGGGCACACCAUUGAAUUUUAUACAUUCUAAAUAUUAACCUUAUUGCUAACUUGAGAUUAACAUAGUCCUCGUGGAUACGAACUUAUUUUUAUUACUUCGAUACAUUUUUAGUACACUUGCUAAAAGUCUAUCAAGUUUUUGACGCCGCUGUCGGGGACAAGUAACUUGAUAAAGCGAUAGUACCCAAAAGUUCAUCUCCCUACUAGCUAAAAAUGAGCUAGUUUGACUUGCUUGCAUCCACCAUACACAACUCCACUCAACAAUUUGAUAAAGGUUCACACAGUCGACAUGUAGGUCUACAUAUUACCAUGCGCUUGAAAAGUUUCUAAACGUCAAUCAAAAUCAAUGUCAUUACACACUUUGAGGUCUUUAAGGGUUAUAACGGGGCUUAGGUAAAGGUGUGAUAUUAUUUGGAUAAGUAGACUACAUAAAAUUUGAGUUAGGCACUCCUAUUGAAAUUAAAGCAUGGAUUCAAUCACUCAUUCAUCCCUUGAAACAACAAUAUGUAAAGGUACUAGAGAAUAUUUGUAACUUGUUGGGACAAUCGAGUUUAAAGUUACUCAGAUUUUUCAUUGUUCGUCCCUUUUUCAUUCUAUAUUUUUUUAUACACCAUUUCUUAGUGUAUUUUUCAUGAUAAUGUUCUUUGUUCUCUAGUACCCUCACCCUAAACUUAGUUGGUUGCAAAUUUCAAUAGCAACCCCAAACUUAUUGUUUAGCAACACCUUACAUAGCCUAACUCAAAUAUAACAUUUUUGGGUUAAAUCCUAAAAGUCUCUAGGCUCAAUAUGUCGUUUGUCACCGAACAAAAAGAUCUAAACCUACCGGUUCAAAUUGGCUUUCAAAAAGGAUAAAUUCAAUCAAAAUCAAGGUAGGCUUGAAUAGACUCACAUGACCAAGCACUUUUGCCUCAGUCUAUAUAUGACAAAGAUCAAUCAACAGUAAAGAAACAAUGCACGACUGACAUCUGACAAGUUAUUGAAAAAAAAAAAAAAAGAACUGAUGUGGAUUUUGAUUUUUUUUUUGUCCAUCUUUUCACUUUUUUUUUUUUUUGCUUUUUUUUUAUUGAAUAAAAAUACCUGCAAAAUAAAAAACAUUAAAAAAAAAGGAUGGGUUGCCUCCCACCAAGCGCUUUCUUUUACGUCAUUGAGUUUGACGCUUCAACCACUGUUAGGGUGGCAAAAAUGAUAGAAAGAAUAUAUCAUCCUUCUUCUUUCUCUUGUUUGGUAGGAAUUCUAUGAAUUUGACACAAAGAAUCAGAUACUCCCAUGCACCCACUGUUAAACCUUUGGAAUUUAAGAUCUCCCACCUUAGAGAAGGACAUGCAUCCAUCUGCACACGAGUGAUUUCCUUAAUCCCCGUUGGUUCAAACUUCGGGAAAAUAUCAACACUCCUCACUUUAAGAUUUUCUUCCACUACAACCUUGUGACACUCAGUCUCCAUCUGAACCAACUUUCUAUGAGACUCAUGUGCUUUCUCAACAAAAUCACCACAGUGAACAUCAAACUUCUCAAAUGAAACUUGAUUUGACACCAAGAAAUCAUCUAAAAUAUUUUGAAGUUGAGUAUUGUAAUCGAUGUUGAUCACCUCGUGCUCUUUUUCUUUAACUAUGUAUUGCUCCUCGCAAAAGGUACUACAAUGAUAACCUCCACAAAAUUCGCAACACAUACUCAAUCUUGUUUCCAAAUCCUUUAUAUGUAGAGAUAUCAUGCAUUUUUCAUAGCGUAGGAUUUCAAUCUCUUCAGAGUCUACCAGAAUUCGACUAUCCCACAUUUCUAAAAGCUCACAUAAACCUUUCAGUAGCACAGCAUAAAGAAAUAUAUUCGAAGAGCAUAAAUCAUAAUAUACCUUUUUCAAUAUUUUUUUAAUAUAUGAACAAAAAUAUAAAUGACAAAAAUCCUAAAUAAAAAACAAAAUUGUCAAGUUGAAAUGAUUUAACAGUCUCCGACAGCGGCGCCAAAAACUUGAUAAAGAUUUGGCAAGUGAACCAAAACUAUCGAAAUAAUAAAUAAAUUCGUAUCCACGAGGACCCCGUUGUUAACUUCUACUCAACAAUUUCUUUAUCAAAAAGGAUGUAUUAAAUUCAAGGUUGCCCUAGGUAGUUGGAUUGGUAUUUGUAAAAUAAACGGAUUAAAAACAAUAAAAGUUUGGUUUUAGAAAAUUAGAGAGAGAUGUAUGGUUAAGACCUUUGAAUCCUCCGAAGUUCUCCUAUGGUAAUUUGCACUCCUAAUUCAAUCAAUGAUUAUCUAGUUCAACGACAGAUUAACAAAGUAACUCUACCCAAUCUCUUGACCUAGAGUUCUCCCCGCAAGUAACAACCCCUUAAUCUCUUAAGUGAAUUCGAAACCAUUGGAGGUUUUAACAGAACGUUUAUCCAUAUGUCAUAACCUAAUAAUGAUCAAUCUCUAGCUUGAUUACUUAGGUUAACCUAUUACCUAGAUCAGAGUCAAAAGCCAGGGUUAGUGGUCAUUCAAUCUCUAACAUCAAUUUGCAUAUUCAUAAAGCUAGGGUUAUUAGUCGAUGAUAAACAAUACAAAAAGCAUUAAACACAAAGUAAUAUGAAUAAAAACUAGACUUUCAUUGACAUUCAAAGGAGUUCAACAAAUCAGGGUUCCCAUAUGAUUACAUUAGAUUCAUCUCAGUCUCAACCACAAAGAAAUUAGUUACUCAUAUCUAAAGUACAAGAUAACUCACAUAAAAACAAGGAUUCAUACAUGUAUUGGAUGAUUGACUAUGGGUUGUGAUGAUCUCCCACCAAAUCUACAAAGUCUCUAGGCCAAUUAUCUAUUUUCUCUCUAAAAUCGUGAACCCUUACUUUGAAAACGAACUUUUCUAUUUAUAAGCCUGUCAAAAUCGGCCACCGAGCCCAAAAUUCGGUGGUUGAAUGCAUUAAAAUGUGUGCCCAGUCUAGCAAAAUCGGUGGCCGAUUUUUGUCGAAUCAAAAGGGAAAAAAUCAGCAGCAAAUUUGGUGGCCGAUUUGUAAAUUCGGUUGCCGAAUUCUGACUUCUUCAAACUUCAAUUUCUUGUUCUUUUGUAGCUUGCAGCUCCAUGAAUCACAAUGAAUAUCCUUAAAAUUACAUGAAAAAUGUCAGAGUGUCAUCAGGCGUGACGUCGAUUCAUGCUUUUAUAGUAUGAGACGUAGUAACCGUUCGCUAGAAACACAACACAAAUUAAGUGCGGAAAGCCGUUAGAGAUCAAUUAGAUGACCAUGAUGUGACGAGAGCGCGCCUAUGCGGCAACAUAUAUAGGAGGUCCACUGUGGAACUCUGCUACCCAAGGAUUCAGGGUUAAUAGGUCUACUAGUGUUGGCCGGCGAAGUGGGCUUCUGCCCAGUCCGAAACAAAAUCCUUCAUACAAAAAAGUCAAACCCAAUGCUAUAAAGCUCCCAACAUAAUAACAAAAUAUAAACAUGAGUACAAGACCACUAUAGUUUCGUAUAAACUUUAUUCCAGGUUUCAUACUUUGUUUACAAAUGUGUCUUAUUUCAUGUAUUUUCCAAUGCCUUUCACCCAAAGUUCCUAAUUCCCUAACAUUGCACAUAAGCUUGCACAAUGUGUUUAUGAAGAUGAGAUAAAACACCAAAAAAAUUAAAUUAGCAUACGACAAAUGUUACAGUACCAAAAUAAGGGUAUAUGCAUAAGUCAUUGUGCUCCUAAGACACAGAAACAAGGUUACCACUUUGAGCCAUCAGGGAAAGGUUUGAGAGCAUCUUGGUUCCCAUUAACAUAAUAUUCAACAACUGCUUUCAUUCGCGGAAGCUUAUCAGGGUGGUAAU